rnacentral:rRNA from 1 species
AUUGAACGCUGGCGGCAUGCUUUACACAUGCAAGUCGAACGGUAACAGGCCGCAAGGUGCUGACGAGUGGCGAACGGGUGAGUAAUGCAUCAGAACGUGCCCAGUCGUGGGGGAUAACGCAGCGAAAGCUGCGCUAAUACCGCAUACGAUCUCUGGAUGAAAGCGGGGGACCGAAAGGCCUCGCGCGAUUGGAGCGGCCGAUGUCAGAUUAGGUAGUUGGUGGGGUAAAGGCCCACCAAGCCAAAGAUCUGUAGCUGGUCUGAGAGGACGACCAGCCACACUGGGACUGGGACACGGCCCAGACUCCUACGGGAGGCAGCAGUGGGGAAUUUUGGACAAUGGGCGCAAGCCUGAUCCAGCAAUGCCGCGUGCAGGAAGAAGGCCUUCGGGUUGUAAACUGCUUUUGUACGGAACGAAACGGUCCGGGUUAAUACCCUGGGCUAAUGACGGUACCGUAAGAAUAAGCACCGGCUAACUACGUGCCAGCCGCCGCCGUAAGAC